rnacentral:lncRNA from 13 species
GGACGAGAAGGGCCCUCUCCCCUGAGAACCUCGCUUUCUCCCAUGCUUCUUUGUCUGUUCUGUCUUCACAGGUUUGGAGGCUCUCGCUAUCUGCAGUUGGAAAGUGGAGAGGAUGUGGCUUCAGGUGAUGCUAACCCCAAAUCCUUGGGCUCUCUCACACGUGCCUGCAUUAUGCACCGUAUGCUGGAUUUCAGUUCCACCUGUGUGCCAGAGCAAUUCUGCAAGAGAGCUUCAGCAAAAUUCCAAAACAGUCGCAUCAAGAGUAGGCACAACCCAGGUCUCCCGACUUUGACCGGUUCCAGGAGAAGUUUCGUUUGUAGUUUGCUCGCCGCCAGUGAUACAGUCUCUACACUCUCUGCGGGAUGGAGGGGAGGUUGAGUGGAGGGAACAUUAAAUAUUAGGAAACCCGAAGAAAAGAGCAAAAGCAACUGCUGUCUCAGGCUGCCCUUCCAAGGUUCGCAGUCCAGGAAGGAUGAAGGGAGACUGCCACCUAUGGGCCAGGUUCCAGGAACGCCUGCACGUGGGGUUCUGUGGGACAGUCUUAAGGUAGAAAGAAAGGCGUCUUUCUGGGACAGUGAGGCAACCGCACCCUCUGCUUACAGGCAGGAGCACUCAACACAUUCAGGACAGAUGAGCAUUUUCUCAAUUUCAAGCACACUUUUUUUUUUUUUUUUUUUUUUUUACAAGAUGUGAUCUUGUGAGCCAAGUUCUGUAAUACAAAGAAAAUAAUGUAACUGACACCUCAGGACCCACCAUCAAAAUCAAACAUGUUCAGUUCACAUCGUUUUGGCUGCUAGGUGCCACAGUGGGUUCCACUCCUGCACUACACCUAAAAUGUGGCUGCUUCAUAAAAAUGAAUCAGCAUAACGAAUCAAAGGCAAACGUCUCUUGCUGUGACGUCCCAGUAGAAAAGCAACAGGAUAAAUAACAACUGGACAGAUAUCAAAGCCGUUCCAACAGAUGCCUGUGGGUGAGGGCAUCGGAAAUGAAAGUGACUCAGGCACAAAGGGGAAUAUAAAAUGAAGCACAGUUGUAAACUAGAGGGGGACCUCACAUACAGUCAUGGUAAUGGGACAAGAACUGAAGAGUAUAAUUAAAUCAACUCUGCUCCCAACUUGAAAAAGAAAAGUCAUGUGCUUUGCACUUGGUGAGUGGGGGACGAAGGUUGUGUUAGAACAGCUCCAGUGGCACCAUACAGUUGUCCUUUAAUAUUUGAGAUCUAUGUGUUUGUGAAUAGCAAAUCCUAUUAUUCACAUCGUCUUCCAUUGUAAGAUUAGAUCUGCCACACAAUACCUGCACAAUACUGGAUUUAGAGUAACCAGGCAGCCCCGACGCCUGUUGAGAGAAGAGAGUGGUCUAGGUAUUUGCGUGUGCAUUUUUUUUUUGGUCUGCGUUUGUGCAUAUGUGUGUGUGUUUGUACAUGUGUGUACAUGAAAGAAUGUGUGUGUCUAUGUGUGUUUUAAAAAGGAGCUCAGGAAGGAUUAUGGUUCUGCCACGAUUUAAAGACCCCCUGCCCAGCAUUGUGGUACCUUGAGAGAAGCUAACCCUGUCCAGAGAGGCAGCUCCCUUGAACAGGCACAUGUACUGAAUAGGCACAGGUUCAGAUGCAUCUGAAAGGGAGGGUUGGGCUGUAGAGUCUUCAACAGAAAUCAGCAGGUAAAACUUGGGAUGCUAGAACUUCCAAAAAGUGCCAAAGGAAACACAGGAAUGAAUCCAUCCAAAGCAGGACGGGGAUUUUCUGGUGCAAUCCAGUAGGCUGGGUGAGGGAGGAUAUCCCAGUGUUGCAUUGUAUGAAUAAUCCACAUUUUGUUUGCCUGUUUUGCUACUGAAGGACCUGCAGGAGACAGGAGCUUGGCCAGUACUGUUCUCUUAGCCCCACUCACUGAGAUUACUAGCAUCAGUUCCUAAGUGAGGAAGAAUUGGCAACUGAUACCAGAACCCACUGAAUGUCCUUUAGGGUUCUUUGUACAUAAAAACAUAAAUAGUGCCAAAUUAUCAUUAGUGGCUCAGUUGUUCUUUAAAAAAACUCUCUUUUUCUCUUUUAUGAAGUGUAAGUUCAAGGGUCUUUCUAGAUGUUGUAAUAUUAGGACACCUGGUUUAGGAGGCCUCUCUCUCCCCACUUCGUAGAUGUGAACCAGAGGAUUUGGCUAUCUUUAACGUGUUAGUAAAUUAUAUUUACUAUUGUUUCAUGUACUAUACAUUUUACGUAAAUUAUAUCAUAUAAAUGUUUAUGUUGCAUCUUUCUAGUUUAUUAUUGUACAUUUUAGACGUAUCCAUGUAGGUGAUAACGGAUCUAGUUCACUCAUUUUAAUGGCUGUGCAGCUUUGCAUUGCAAGAAUAAUCUGCAUUUUAUUUGCCCAUUUUGCUCCUGAAGGUCAGGUACCUUGUUUCCACUUUUAAGCUAUUAUCCAGAGUGCUGAAAGAAUGUGCUUUUGUUCAUAUCUUCUUGGACCCAUGUGUCUCUUGAGAACUUCUAGACAUAUAGUGGCAGAAUUUUUGGUCCUGGGUUGUGUAUUAACUUUAGCAGGUGUUGCCAAAUCGCUCUCUAUAGAGGGUCUGUCAUUUUACACACCCACCAGCAAUGGACAUACAUGUCCAUUUCGCCAUUCCCAUAAACUCUUGGCAUUGUCAGGGUUUUAUAAAAAAAAAAUCCACUCUAAUAGGCAUGAAAUAGUUUCUAUGUGUUUUAAUUUGCAUCUCCUUGACUACUAAUAAAGGCAAGCACGUUUUCA